rnacentral:rRNA from 1 species
GAUGAACGCUGGCGGCGUGCCUAACACAUGCAAGUCGAGCGAGAAAUCAUUCUAUUAAUCUUCGGAAGCGUAGAACGAUGGAAAGCGGCGGACGGGUGAGUAACGCGUAGGCAACCUGCCCUAUACAGGGGGAUAGCCACGGGAAACCGUGAUUAAUACCUCAUGACACCAGAGAUACACAUGUAUUUUUGGUCAAAGAUUUCAUCGGUAUAGGAUGGGCCUGCGUCUGAUUAGCUAGUUGGUGAGGUAACGGCUCACCAAGGCAACGAUCAGUAGCCGACCUGAGAGGGUAAUCGGCCACAUUGGAACUGAGACACGGUCCAAACUCCUACGGGAGGCAGCAGUGGGGAAUAUUGCACAAUGGGCGCAAGCCUGAUGCAGCAACGCCGCGUGAGCGAAGAAGGCCUUUGGGUCGUAAAGCUCUGUCCUAGGGGAAGAAAAAAAUGACGGUACCCUUGGAGGAAGCCCCGGCUAACUACGUGCCAGCAGCCGCAGUAAAAC